AUUUCAACCAGGGAGAAAUGAUCCCUCUGGCAGUCCUCCAAGGCAUCAAUCCAACUUUUACUUUUGUUGUGUAGACUGACUGGACACAAAAAUCGAGAGUGUUUCUCUUUUGGGAUUGGGGAAGGGGCCAGCUCUGCUCUCAUCAAUGGGAUGGCCAAGGAAGGAGGAGGUCACGCUCAGUUCAUCACAGGGACUGACAGGAUGCAA